UUUAACAUAAAAUUUCCAUUUCAUGUAUUGUACCGGAUUUAGCCAUGGGCUAUUUUUCAUCCGUAGAUCCCCCGGCAGGUCAACACUAACAUAACAUUACACAAACGGUACCUAUGUUCAAAUACAAUACAUACAUACAUACACACAUACUGUCAGGUCCAUAAAUAAAUAAUAAAUAAAUCCGUCAAUCAGUUUAAUUACCACAAUCUCAAUGAUUACAUAAUUGGUUCAAUUUGAAAAAAGAUUUUAACUUCAAUUUAAAAAGACCCUGAGCCUUGCACCCUUUUAUGUCCUCUGGUAGGGCAUUCCACUGAUUAGUGGCUUUCACUGCGAAAGAUGAUAGUCCAAAUGCAGAGCGACGAAAGGGAACCAGACAAUUACUCAUAAAUGAUAGUCUGUACGCAGAUUCAGACAGUGGAGAUGACUCUGACAAACGCUCAUGUGAAGAGAGCUGGAGACUCAUUUCCUCCCUGAGAGAGAAACUACCAGCUAACAAGGUACCAGACAAACAGAGACAUUUCAAAAUAAGAGUCCUGGUGUAUUUUGGGCUUGUUUAUAAUUUAAAAAAAUCAUUUUUUGUUUUGGUUAUUAUUGGUAUUUUGGUCACACAGUUACUGUAUGUGGUGAUUAAAAAUGAUUUGCAUUCCCAUUCUCACAUCCAGAGGCACAAAAAUAAUUUUAUAAAGCAGAUAGUUCUGUCCUUGAUUCUGAUUGGUUGAGUCGCAUUUGAAGCUGUUGUAAAUUACUCUGCAAACAUACACCUUUGUUUACUUCUGUGUGUUGCUCGGCAACCACUUUGUUACAACCACAACAGAUUCUGAGGAACUACAUUGUUUGGUGGAAGAACACUGUUUUUAUUAAUAUCAAUACACUUUAUUUGCUCUGUUUUAUUCUGUGAAACUCUGCUUCGCGUUGUGCUUAACAAUGCCCUUUAGCUGUUAUAAAUUACUGUAAACCAUGGCUUCAGGGGUCUUAUUGCUUUAUUUUUCUAAAAUUCAUGUAUUUUACCCAUUUCCCUUCAUUUGUUCCCAGUGUUUUUCUGCGACCCCAAUGCAAGUGACAUAACUGUGACGUCUACCAUAAUUGGUCUAUAUUUCUAUGAAUAAAUCUCUGACAGAGACUAUCA
ensembl:lncRNA